ACGGCUCAGUAACACGUGGCUAACCUGCCCUUGGGACAGAGACACCCCCGGGAAACUGGGGCUAAUCCCUGAUAGGUGAAGAACUCUGGAAUGAGUCUUCACCCAAAAGACGCCUAGGCCACGCUUCUAGGCGCCGCCCAAGGAUGGGGCCGCGACCGAUCAGGUUGUUGGUGAGGUAACGGCCUACCAAGCCUUUUACCGGUACGGGCCGUGAGAGCAGGAGCCCGGAGAUGGGCACUGAGACAAGGGCCCAGGCCCUACGGGGCGCAGCAGUCGCGCAAACUUUGCAAUACACGAAAGUGUGACAGGGCUAUCCCGAGUGCCAUCCGCUGAGGAAGGCUUUUACCCAGUUUAGAAAGCUGGGAGAAUAAGGAGAGGGCAAGUCUGGUGUCAGCCGCCGCGGUAAUACCAGCUCUCCGAGUGGCGUGGAUGUUUAUUGGGCCUAAAGCAUCCGUAGCUGGCCAAGUUAGUCCCCUGUUAAAUCCACCGAAUUAAUCGUUGGAGUGCGGGGGAUACUGCUCGGCUAGGGGACGAGAGAGGCCGACGGUAUUUUCGGGGUAGGGGUGAAAUCCUAUAAUCCCGGGAAGACCACCAGUGGCGAAGGCUGUCGGCUAGAACGCGCCCGACGGUGAGGGAUGAAAGCUGGGGGAGCGAACCGGAUUAGAUACCCGGGUAGUCCCAGCUGUAAACGAUGCAGGCUAGGUGUUUGGGCGGCCACGGGCCGCUCUAGUGCCGCAGGGAAGCUGUUAAGCCUGCCGCCUGGGGAGUACGGUCGCAAGGCUGAAACUUAA
rnacentral:rRNA from 1 species